GUGACUUAGCGCGCUCAGUCGCGACCUCGAUCGUGUUUCGCGUCGCCAGCGGUCAUACUUCCCCACUUGUUUCACUCCGCCUCUCAAGUUAAGGGGUGUUACAUGGGGGUAGCUGUGUUCUCCCCCCCCCCUACUUACCCCUCUGGCUGGAGGCGGGCUGUGUCGCAGUUGGAGGAGAGAGGCGGUCGUGGUGGGGCACUUUUGCUGAGACGUGAACUCUCGCACGAGGUUUCUGUUCGCUUCACGGCGUGAGCAAGUUUACUCACGCCGGCGCCCCCGGGGACUCCCGUGCGGUGGCCGUGCCCAGAUGCUGGCACCAACUUCCUUCAACCCGCGCAGCUGCCCGCGCAGGUGCCGCCGGAGGCUUUGGCUGCCUCCACAGGUGCGCGACGCUUGCGCCCCGGGUGCGGCGGGACCGUGCCCGACUGGUGCAGGUAAAUGUGUAAGGAAUGACGACUUCCCGAAUGAUCGAUCCAACGCCUCGCACCUCCACGCGCCGGUGGCCGCGCGGAUCGUCUCGUCGCCGCAGGAUCGUCGGUGAGGUGGCUCCGGCGGCAGUCUGGGGGGAGGGCCUUCGUCCAGCAGCGGAUUGAGCCUGGCUGAUGCUGGCGAAGACGACGAACGAAAUUACCGGGAAAGCCUCGCCGAGUCCCAAGGCUUCUUCUGUCAGGAGGAUCCCGCCGCUCCGUUGGGGAGGUCGUGGGUUCGAUCCUGACCCUGACGUCUGCUGCUGGAUAUUUGGAGUUUUCCUGUUCUCUCGCUCCCCGUGGUCGUCUUGGGCGGCGGAAUUUCCCUUUUACAUUCAGAAACACGCGUUUAGAGUAUUUGGCUGCGAUACAUUUCCAGGCCGGUCGACCGCGCGACACCUGCACCCUGGGGUCGCCAUCCUCGGGCCGCCGAUCUUCACCGCCGUCGACAUCUCUCCCCCACCCCCCACACCGCACCACCACCACCACCACAGAUCCUUCUGCUCCUGGGAGCUGGUUUCACGUGGUGGCUUAGACUGUGAUGUUCCUUCUCUAGCACCAUAUGAAAUCGGUGUCCCUGGAGUUGGACAUACUUCACUAGACGGCGAACAUUACGGCCGCGUCCGCGACAGCUGGCGACGUGCUGCGAGAGAUUCGGCCGCGAGCCGACCUCGGACCAGUUCGUCGGCGAGCGUUGACGGAGUACGCAGACUGCCAAGGGUAGCCCAGCAUUGUCGCAAGGCGCAUUGUCGCAGUGUGCAUCUAGAUAUACACACCGCCGUAGAAAGCCAAAAAAGUAAAUACAUUUCGCGAUUGCAUCCGGGCAAGACGAACGUGAUUAAGGUCCAAAUCGUACUGAUUGGUGAGCCGUGUGCACACACGCCUAGCCAAGAGCCAGCCCAGUGUGCUGAAAUGAUCCUCGCCAUCGUUACAGCUCAUCGGUGAGCCGCGCCAGCCUAGAGACCGUCAUUGAAGCAUUGGGGCGAGGAGUCCCCAGAUAAAUAAAAACUUUGCACCUGCCACACGGUCACACACAACCCCCGGCCGCAUGAGAAUCGUCAAAAGUUACACUGGCAUCAAUUGUGAUCCCCACAAGGUGGAAGCCAGCGGUGGGACCUAUCCGUGCGCGACCUUCAUUCUCGGUUGCCGCAGCCGCAUCGUCGUCGGUAAAGUGUGACAGCGUCGCUGGCAUUGCUGCCGACGCGUUUUGCGGCCUGCCAGAUGUGGCUCGGGGGGGGGGGCACGGGGUUCUUUGCAGCUCGAGGGGCAGCGUGCGGUUCUUGCCCACGGUCCUUCUCAAGGAAGUCGGGCGCGCGUACGUGGUUAUAUCAGUCGUGCCUGGUUACAUCAGUCAAGACUUUGUUGGCGAGCGGAGGGCCCUUGGCUACGGCAUUGCGGCGGUGAACUUCGCUCGGCAUCUGAGCUGCUCUUGCUGCUGGGACCAAGCCAGCCAGCCGCCUACGCCACCAAUACCCGGCCUCGCCGUGCCACCGCCGAACCUCGCCCCGUCAACACAGCCUCACCCAGGCCCACCACGGCGGCACUCAAGCUGGUAGUGCCCAGCCCCACCCAGAUGACUGAUUUCUCUUGGUGUUUAGAGUUCCGUAUGCCUGGUCUAGCACCAUUUGAAAUCAGUUAUGUGGAGAGGGUCUUUCUUCGUGUCCGGGCACUGGAUAGAGCCUGGCCAGGAAGCCGCUGCUCCAUUUGACUGCGUUGCACAACCUCCACGGUAAGUUUCCAGAACGAAGGACCACCGCCAACGCCACUGCUGGCACCACAGCUCCACUGCAGGUACCACCGGCAGUUGCGCAACCAGGUACACAUUUCAGACGGGAAAUAGUUUCUACCGAACCAAAUACAGAGUUUCUAAUUUCUGGAAACGCAAACAUGGGUAAAUGGCAAGACCAUACAAGCAUUUUGGGGGGGCAUCCGCAAUUGCCCCAAUUACCCCUCCCCAACCCCACCGUGUGCGCCCUGUGACCGCCGCGACGCUUCCAACGACCUUUGGCGCAAGCCGACGCCACCUUGGGCUCGCCGGGAUCUCGUUGGGCCGUGCACCCACACGCUGGGGUACGGAACGAAAACAUCGCCGGCGCUGCCGUGGCCAACAACCGCUGCCGCCGCCGCCGCCCUUCCCACGGCGCGCAAGCAAACAAGACGGGAGGAUCGGCGAGCCUGUCGGAGCGAGCAAGCACCGUCCCUUCUUGCCCGCGACGGCCGACGCCCCCUCUAAUCACCGGCCAAUUUGCAUGCGCGGCAAUUACGGCGCGUGCUCGCCCAGCGCCGUAGCCCGGUGCCGAGACAGGGCUAAGCUCGUGGGGACAGGGCUAAGCUCGUGGGGACAGGGCUAAGCUCGUGGGCUGGCCGCGUUCUUCGCGAGAAAUUAAUCUCGGGUUUGGCGCAACCGUCUUUGACCCGAAAUGCGAGAAAUGUUUUUUUAACCACUUCCCUGGGGGCAGGGUUGUAAUCUGCAAUGUUUGGAGGUUGCUGGAAUGUAAUGUUUCGGCAAAUCUUAAGAGCUGUCACGGUGGUGUAAUGAUUUAGCGCACCGGACUUGCAAUCCAGAAUUCCACUCGGGUUUGAUUCUUCUUCCAGUGCGGCACUCAAAAAGCAAUGGGAAAAGUUUUACGAAAUCCACUGCCGCGCCGCUCUUUGCCCGGCGGAAAUAAAUGGGUUCGCCGCGGUGCAUCAGCAGAUCGCGUGUGAUGGAUGGGGUAAUGUGCAGUUAUUUUAUGGUCCUUUAUAUACAGAUUUUUUUUAUGUAUGGCGCAUUAAGAUGCCUUCGAUUUGAAAAGCGCUUUAUAAAAUAAAAUUGUUAGCGUGGGUACGCACACCUUGUCCAACUCGCCCGGUCAGCGUAGACCAAACUCCCAGCAGGGUUCACGAGGACAGAGGUCCUCGAUUCCAGAGCUGAGCGAGCACUUGCAGGGCUGCGCCUUUACCCUUUGUAUUUUGAGUCGUAUCGGUCGAACGAUGCAGGUCGGUUUGAAACAAAUGGGAGCACUCGUUGCACACACAAAGUGCUUGCCACAAAUGAACCACCACAACACCUUCCUGAUCACAUCAAGGAGCAUAAGCCAUCACGUGAACUCCAGUCCAUCCUCAGCGGCUUGUGUCUCGCCAUCGAAUAAAGAUGCUCACUGCGUCGCGCUCUUUGAGAUGCGCCUCUGUGGCCGUCCGGAACGCUCUUCCGAGAUGAAGCCACCGGAGCUACGCACAUUCAAAUGUAGAUUGAACUCAUUUCCUGAGAACUGACUUUUGUGUUUAGUUUGUUGUCCUUCCCCACACACCUCCAAGGAGCACGGUUGGUUGCGUACGGUGCGAAAGAAGUUCAGUAUACACGACUUUGCCAACCUGUCCACCGAAGCCCUCGCAAACGGUGGUGGGGGGGGGGUAGUUUUAACACCGAUUAUAACUUCAUACCAUACGCUGUUGUUGAAAAGUGUCGCUCUUGAAAUAAAAGGUCGCCACCCCCCACCCCCCC